CUACGGGGUGCAGCAGUCGCGGAACUUUUACAAUGCACGCAAGUGUGAUAAAGCGAACCAAAGUGCUUAUCAUUUAGAUAAGCUUUUUCUCUACGUAAAAACUAGGGAGAAUAAGGACUGGGAAAGACUGGUGCCAGCCGCCGCGGUAAUACCAGCAGUUCAAGUUGCAUCCAUUUUUAUUGGGUCUAAAACAUCCGUAGCUUGGUGCUUAAGUCUCUUGUGAAAUCUCACGUCUCAAGCGUGGUGAAGUGCAGGAGAUACUGAGUACCUAGAGAUCGGUAGACGUAAGCAGUACGGGACGGGUAACGGUCAAAUGUGUUAAUCCGUCUUGGACUAACAAUCAGCGAAGGCAGCUUACGAGGACGAAUCUGACAGUGAGGGAUGAAGGCCAGGGGCGCAAAACGGAUUAGAUACCCCGGUAGUC
rnacentral:rRNA from 1 species